UACGAAGGGGGCUAGCGUUGGUUCGGAAUUACUGGGCGUAAAGCGCACGUAGGCGGAUUUGUAAGUCAGGGGUGAAAUCCCGGGGCUCAACCUCGGAACUGCCUUUGAUACUGCAAGUCUCGAGUCCGAUAGAGGUGAGUGGAAUUCCUAGUGUAGAGGUGAAAUUCGUAGAUAUUAGGAAGAACACCAGUGGCGAAGGCGGCUCACUGGAUCGGUACUGAC
rnacentral:rRNA from 1 species